GGCACCACCCAGUCUCAUGUCAAAUUAUAAUCCCCAAUGUUGGAAGAGGGGCCUAGUGGGAGGUGAUUGGAUCAUGAGGGGAACUUCCCUCUUGCUGUUCAGGUGAUAAUGAGUGAGCUCUCAUGAGAUCUGGUUGUUUAAUGUGUGUAGCACCUUCCCCUUUGCUCUCUCUUCCUCCUGCUCCAGCCACGUGGUAUAUGUCUGCCUCCCCUUCGCCUUCUGCCGUGAUUCUCUGGAGGUCAGAAGUCCAAAAUCUGGGUGCCAGCAGAUCCAGGCUCCCUCUGAAGACCCGAGGACAGACUCCUUUCUUGCUUCUUCCAGUAUCGGCGAUUUGUUGGCCUGUGGCUGCUUCACCCCAAUCUCCGCCUCGUUCUUCUCAUGGCCCACUCCCCUGUGUCUGUGUCUCAAAUCUCCCUCUACCCUUUUCUCAUAAGGACAGCUGUCAGUGGAUCUAGAGUCCAUCCUAAAUCCAAGAUGAUCUCAAGACCCUUCGCUGCAUCUGCAAAGACCUUUCCCCAAAUAAGGAACUACUCAAACCUCAUAUGAAAUGCAGGAAUCCAACAGAUAGGCUGUUUGUAGAGUAAGCUCAUUGCUUGGAGUGAGAACGCCCCUCCGCCUUCAUUGAAGAAACCGCAUCUAUGUCAUUCCCAGGAUUCUCCCCAAUGACCACCAUACUAGGCUCAGCAACAACCCUGAACUUUCAAUAUAAUCAGACAUAUUUGAGAGUGAGGAGGACAGAAGAGGUAGAAGAGAAAUGCUUCAAUACCACCCCUAUUCAGAAGAAAUUUCAAAAAUGCUUGAAGGAGGCCAGGCACAGUGGCUCAUGCCUGUAAUCCCAGCAUUUUGAAAGGCCAAGGCAGGUGAAUCACUUGAGGUCAGGAAUUCAAAACCAGCCUGGCCAACGUGGAAAAACCCCACCUCUACUAAAAAUACAAAAAUUAUCUGGGUGUUGUGGUGUGUGCCUGUAAUCCCAGCCACACAGGAGGCUGAGGCAGGAGAAUUGCUUAAACUUGGGAGGUGGAGUGUGCAGUGAGCUGAGAUCGUGCCACUGCACUCCAAUCUGGGCCACUCUAGAGUGAGACCCUGUCUCAAACAAAAACAAAUUUAAAAAGAGAAAGAAAAUGCUUGAGGCUGGGUGUGAUGGCUCACACCUGUAAUCCUAGCACCAUGGGAGGCCCAAGGUGGGAGAAGAUCACUUGAGGCCAGGAGUUCAAGACCAGCUGCAGCAACCUUGUGAGACCCCAUCUUUAUUCAAAAAUUAAAUUAAAAAUUUAAAAAGAAAACUCUUGACUCUACUAAGAUACUGUUGGUAACAUGGACAGCCUCUGCACGAACAGCGUAUCGUGAUUAACAUGACUUUGCCACACACAUCUCUGACAAGCUGCAGAGGGCCGGGUGGUGGGUGAAAGCCUAUUUCUCCAGGAAACAAUGAACUUGGAGAAGCCGUGGCUUUCGUGGAAUCUUCCUGGAAGUGUCACGCAGGUAAGCCUGUGAAAGGGAAGAUUUGGGUAAAUUCAUCGGAGUUUCAGUCUGGAC